rnacentral:rRNA from 1 species
AGAACGCUGGCGGCGUGCCUAAUACAUGCAAGUCGAACGGCUUUUCUAUGGAAGCUUGCUUCCACUGAGAAGAUAGUGGCGAACGGGUGAGUAACACGUGGGUAACCUGCCCAUAAGAGGGGGAUAACAUCCGGAAACGGGUGCUAAUACCGCAUAGUUUUCUUGAUCGCAUGAUCGGGAAAGGAAAGACGGCCUUUGUGCUGUCGCUUAUGGAUGGACCCGCGGCGUAUUAGUUAGUUGGUGAGGUAACGGCUCACCAAGACGAUGAUACGUAGCCGACCUGAGAGGGUGAUCGGCCACAUUGGGACUGAGACACGGCCCAAACUCCUACGGGAGGCAGCAGUAGGGAAUCUUCCGCAAUGGACGAAAGUCUGACGGAGCAACGCCGCGUGAGUGAAAGAAGGUUUUCGGAUCGUAAAACUCUGUUGUCAGAGAAGAACAAGUUGGAGAGUAACUGCUCCAGCCUUGACGGUAUCUGACCAGAAAGCCACGGCUAACUACGUGCCAGCCGCCGC